UGCUGUAUAGCUUAGUUGGUUAGAGCAUGGUGCUGAGAACACCAACGGCACAGGUUUGAUCCCCUGAUGGGGCAG